rnacentral:rRNA from 1 species
AGCAGUAGCCGCGGGAAUACAGAGGGUGCGAGCGUUAAUCGGAUUUACUGGGCGUAAAGCGUGCGUAGGCGGCUUCUUAAGUCGGAUGUGAAAUCCCUGAGCUUAACUUAGGAAUUGCAUUCGAUACUGGGAAGCUAGAGUAUGGGAGAGGAUGGUAGAAUUCCAGGUGUAGCGGUGAAAUGCGUAGAGAUCUGGAGGAAUACCGAUGGCGAAGGCAGCCAUCUGGCCUAAUACUGACGCUGAGGUACGAAAGCAUGGGGAGCAAACAGGAUUAGAUACCCCAGUAGUCCCUGUCUCUUAUAU